GCCGGACGGGUCCUCUCCGAGCAUCCCCCCACCCGCCUGGCGCCAAUGGAGCUGGCCUGCCCCGCCCUGCCCCUCCCCGCCCCGUCCGGGCUCCGACCGGACUUUCAGGACUGCAAGGGAACUGGGGUGGACACCCAGCCUCCCGCCAGGUCACAGGAGGCGAUAAAAAUGGCCCAGGGGAGACAUUGCUGGAGUUGCAUGGAGUUCGGGAGCCUAGGAAGGGUCUGCAAAUAACAGUCAAAAAGUUUGAAGGGUGACGGCGGAGAUACUUUCAACGUAAGAUUGCAGUCAUAAUUACAACAUGAAUAGUAACAGUUUAAGUUCGUUGUACUAGUAUGAACUCAUGUUAGUGUUCGACAUUCUAUGAUCCCAGUCCUGUUUAAGCAAUGUAAUUGAAGACUUUAGUUUGCAGAUCUACCUUUCAGGGACAAAGAACCUAGACAGGGAAAGAGCAGUAACUUUUGACAGAAAUUUAAUACCCCAUUUUGCUUCCUGUGAGAUCUGGUUAUUCUCUUCCUUUCACAUCUGUUCGUAGCUCUUGUAGUUUUCCCAGGCAUUAAAUAAGUAAACCCUCUUUCUUGGAAUCACCAAUAUAUUACUAUACUGGGGGAAAAAAAAGAUUUGAAUUACUUAGGAAGCUGAUGAACUACCCACUCCAACAAUAGAGUCCUGAAAAUCAGUCUUAAGCUUUUGGCCAAACUACUGAAGAUUAUCCCUCCUGACACACACACACCCUCUUUUUGUUGUUGUUGUUGUUGUUGUUGUCGUUGUUUUAACCAGUUGACAGAUCUUUUUUGCAUCAUCACCAUUUUCAGUUUAAAUUCUUACUAGGUUGGAUAAAUGUCACCAUUCUAAUAUCAGCCAUCAUCAUUAUACCUGGUGAAAAAUACAGCAUGUCUGGGCUGCACCCUCACAGUGUCUAAUUCGGUGUUUAUGGGAAAGGGGCCCAGGAGAAUCUGCAUAUCCAGCAAUCCAUGUUUUCAGGGUUGUGGCUUGGGAAAGAACUGUUACAGACUUCUACUCUACCUAAGGACCUAUUUUGUAGCUGUUGCAAUGGAUGGAAUGUUUGUGCUUUCCCUCAAAUUCAUUUGUUAAAAUCCUAACCCCAGUGUGAUGGUAUUAGGAGGUGGGGCCUUUGGGAGGUAAUUCUUGAGCAUAGAGGCCUCAUGAAUGCGAUUAAGUGCCCUUAUAAAAAAGGGACCCAGAGAGCUGUCUCCAUCUUUCUGCCACAUGAGGAUACAAAAACACAGCAGUUUGCAAACCAGAAGAAGGUCCUCACCAGAAACUAACCAUGCUUGGACCUCUAGCCUCCAGAACUGUGAGAAAUAAAUGUGUGUUUAUAAACCAGUCAGUCAGUCUGUGGUGCUUUAUUAUAGCAUCCAGAACGAGCUAAGACAGCUACUAAGUAGCAUUCCAUUUGACAAGGAAGCCUUACCAUGCACACUACUUCUGAGUUCAAUGAAAGAGAGGCUCGGUAAGUUUUAAAAAUCAAAUUUCAAUGAAUUAGUCUAAUUCUCAUUAACAAUUUAAAUUAUUUUUCUAAGAUAUGUUUUAUAUCUUCUAAAAAUUUACCGGUUUGUUAUAAGCAUAUCCAAUUAAUGCUUGAGAUUUUACCUGAUUAGAUCUGCACUUUUACGUCCAACAUUUGCAGGAACCUUCAUUCUACCAGUUCAAAUCCAGAUUUACAGGUAGUUAACCCAUCUGGGUUUUUUUUGUUUUGUUUUGUUUUUGUUUUUGUUUUUUUUCUGCUUCUAUUUUAUAGAAGGCUAGAGCU